GGUUGCGGCCAUAUCUAGCAGAAAGCACCGUUCCCCGUUCGAUCAACUGUAGUUAAGCUGCUAAGAGUUGUACCGAGUA
rnacentral:rRNA from 1 species